CGGGUUCACCAUACUACCUCUUUCGCUACAGCCACUAGACAAAUAAAAAUUGCCUUCCUCUACCGGCCAAAAUAACGUGGCGGGGCAAUCUUCACAAUGGAUCCAGCUGAUAGUCGGAUCCGUCCAAUACAUGACAGCAGGUGGUCGGAUCCGUCCAACACACGACAGCAGGUGUUCCACAUAAACCCACAGGUCAGCAAUACUCGGGUACGGAACUAGGGUGUGCAGAAGUUUCAUCGUUCUGUGUGCACCUCGGGCAGACCCGGCUAACGGCACUUCCGUGCCUAUAAAGUUUAUCCCGAACAGGCAGCACUCCUCGGUAGCGCUUUUAGGCAAGGGAUUUCUGGAAGUUAUCCAUAGGCCCAGGCCUGAAAGUUCUCCGAAACAGACCGGUUAGUUGUUCUUCACUGACGCCUAGCGUUUCCCUGAGAACGUCGUCGCACUUUCCUCUACUAGCUCCCUAUAGAACGCUAGAGUAGAACUAUUACCAACCGCAUUGCUCGCCUGGUGGAGAGCUGUGAGGACUUGACGGCACUCGAGGUGCCAAGCGCUCCUCCUCGAUCUACGCCUAAGCCAGGAUUGCAGCUCAGUCAAAGAGACCAGCUGUGGAAAAGCGUGUUCACACAUGCUCACUGUCAAGGAAACGCUGGAGAUGCCGCAACCACACAGACACCACAAUGGAAGAAUUUUUCUUUCCGACACACAAUGCACAACCACUACACAUACAGAUUUUUAAAAUGAAUCAAGAAACAUAAUAAAUAAUAAUAAUAAUAAAUUUUCCAAAUGCUGUUGGGUCUUUCCAAAAGACUUUCCCCAAAUGACUCGAUAAAAACCUCGUGGAAAUGCCCACAACAAAGUCCAGGGGAACAGCACUUCCAGACAACAAUGAUGGAGAAUGCUUUCCGUAGUAUAUGGGCAUCAAAGUUAUUUUUUGUUGUUCAAGGAGAUUGGAGUUACCAGGGAGUUGCUUCAUAUACUUCUCACAUCCCAAGGCAAAAAAAAGAAAAAAAUUAAAAUUGUAAAAAUACUGACUGAAUUUAGAAAAGACAUGGAAAAAAAAACACAUUUACAUAAAUGGACACAAUUGAAGAAAAUACUAGAGAUCUGUACCUUGACAGACAUAAGCCAACAUUUUAACACUAACUUUACAAGUGUGGUCAGCCAAAAGGAUUCGAUGGACAUUGGGUCUUGGAAAAAAAAACAUGGGUGUGACUUGAUACGAGGGACAGUGCUUCCUAGCUAGAGUAAUACAAUCAGAAAGAAUUCGUAAGGAAGGCAAUAUACAUCUGUGUUACCCAAAUCAUUAACACUAUGUGAAAAUUCGCUUACUUUUCUCCUUUUAAAUUGCCAGUGUUUGUAGCCUUCAAGGCAACUUAUUAAAUUGUAAGCAAAUAUAUGUCUAGACACAGACUCGUUUGCAUAACAGUUGACGACCUGACAUUAAUUAUUAAAAGCAUGAAGCUAAAUACCAAUUUUUCGGUUGAUAUGGUAUGCUUUGAUGAAUAUUUAUAAUUUUGUAUUCAAAUUAUAAAAGCUUUACACAAACAUAUAUAAUGUCAACGUGGAAACGAUGAAAUGCCAGAGGACUAAAAUUAAUAAAAAAAAGUAUAAUUAAAAUA
rnacentral:lncRNA from 1 species